CCUACGGGAGGCAGCAGUGGGGAAUAUUGGGCAAUGGGCGCAAGCCUGACCCAGCAACGCCGCGUGAAGGAAGAAGGCUCUCGGGUUGUAAACUUCUUUUCUCAGGGACGAAGAAAGUGACGGUACCUGAGGAAUAAGCCACGGCUAACUACGUGCCAGCAGCCGCGGUAAUACGUAGGUGGCAAGCGUUAUCCGGAUUUACUGGGUGUAAAGGGCGUGUAGGUGGGAAAGCAAGUCAGAUGUGAAAACCAUGGGCUCAACCUGUAGACUGCAUUUGAAACUGUUUUUCUUGAGUACUGGGGAGGUAGACGGAAUUCCUGGUGUAGCGGUGAAAUGCGUAGAUAUGAGGAAGAACACCAGUUGCGAAGGCGGUCUGCUGGACAGCAACUGACGCUGAGGCGCGAAAGCGUGGGGAGCAAACAGGAUUAGAUACCCGUGUAGUC
rnacentral:rRNA from 1 species